rnacentral:rRNA from 1 species
UGUAAACCCCUUUUCUCAGGGAAGAAUAAUGACGGUACCUGAGGAAUAAGUCUCGGCUAACUACGUGCCAGCAGCCGCGGUAAUACGUAGGAGGCAAGCGUUAUCCGGAUUUAUUGGGCGUAAAGAGGGUGUAGGCGGUUUUUCAAGUCGAAUGUAAAAUCUCCCGGCUUAACCGGGAGGGCCCAUGCGAUACUGUUGGGCUAGAGGGCAGCAGAGGGAGGUAGAAUUCCCGGUGUAGUGGUGAAAUGCGUAGAUAUCGGGAGGAACACCAGUAGCGAAGGCGGCCUCCUGGGCUGUAACUGAC